GGAUAGUUAAUAUAUGACAUUUUUGCUUUGUCUGCACAUAAUGGAUAGAGUAAAUAUCUCAAAAGCACACUGUUAAGCUUUGCAAAUGAAAAUAUUUUCUAAACCGCACAUCUAGGGGAAGAAAGCUACGGUUUUGGUGGCGGUAGAACCCUAAAUCAAUUGACAUGUAUUGUUAAUAACUGCAACUUAAGAUUUUCUUCUGCAGAUGGAUCCAUCCUCAACAGAGGGCAGUAGAGGAUGAAAAUGUAACUUGAUCUAGUCACAUUGUUGUAGUCAGACUAAUUCUCUAAAAUUCUUUUAACAGGCUUUAAAAUGUACCCUUUUAUCUUGAAAAAUGAGGAAGCAGCACUGCUGGCCAUCUGGGAGACACACUGCCAACAUGGAGAUGUUAGAAUCCUUCUACAUCAUUUACUUGACCAAUGCAGUACCAAGCUGUGCUGGAUGGUUGUGUUGCAAAGUUUAGCAUCAAGAAGGAAAAUAUCCUCAGAGGAGGUUGACAAACAGGUGGGAAAAUACAAAGAUGCCAAGAGAUCAGAGGAUGCUGAAAGAUACUGUAGAGAGGAGUUGUCUCUAUUAAGACACAGAUCAGAUUUAAUCUCAGAAGUAUACCACCUCCUCCAUGGCCUGCUCAAGGCUGCCUGGAUGUGCCUCCUCUACUGA
rnacentral:lncRNA from 1 species